AUUGAACGCUGGCGGCAUGCCUAACACAUGCAAGUCGAGCGGCGAGGCGGACGGGUGAGUAAUGCCUAGGAAUCUGCCUGGUGGUGGGGUAUCACGUCCGGAAACGGGCGCUAAUACCGCAUACUAUCAAAUGAGCCUAGGUCGGAUUAGCUAGUUGGUGGGGUAACGGCCUACCAAGGCGACGAUCCAUAACUGGUCUGAGAGGAUGAUCAGUCACACUGGAACUGAGACACGGUCCAGACUCCUACGGGAGGCAGCAGUGGGGAAUAUUGGACAAUGGGCGAAAGCCUGAUCCAGCCAUGCCGCGUGUGUGAAGAAGGUCUUCGGAGUGUAAAGCACUUUAAGUUGGGAAGCGGUACCAACAGAAUAAGCACCGGCUAACUUCGUGCCAGCAGCCGCGGUAAUUC
rnacentral:rRNA from 1 species